CCUUGGCAGGUCCACUUUAACCAUUGCACAAUGGCCUCAAAAUGUAUUUGGACACUUACAAAUGUAUGAAAGAAAUUGCAUUACAUAACGAUAUAUGGAGGCAUUUAUUUUAAAGAAUAAUUUUAUAAAAAAAAAAAAAAAAAAAAAAAGAACAAAUUGCACUUACAAUGAGAGUGAAUGGGGUCAGUCCAUAAACGCUAAAAUACACAUUAUUUCAAAGAACACAAUUGAAGAUUUUUUGAAGAAUAUCUCAGCUAUGUUGGUCCAUACAAAUCAAGUGAAUGAUAGCCAGAACAUUAAAGCUCCAAAAAGCACUUAAAGGGAUAGUUUACCCAAAAAUGAAAAUUCAGUCAUUGUUUACUCACCCCCUGAGUUGUUAUAACCCAAUAUGACUUUCUUUCUUUUUUCUUAACACAAAGGGAGAAAGGGAGAUUAUGGUGACCACCUCUUCAAGCUUAAAAGGGAUGCAAAAGGGAGUCACGUGGAGCAAUGCGAGGGUCGGACGUGUGAACGACAGGGCUGCAGACAGGGACUCAGUUUGGACGGUGCGGCGGGAGAGAUUCAGCAUCAACUGUCAAGCAUGUCGGCAAUGCUGGUGAAGGUCGUUGCUGACUUGGAGGAUCUUGCUGUAAUACGUAGAUCGAUCACUGCCAUGGAGACGAAAUUCUCUGAGUUGGUUACAAGAGUGUCGGAUGUCGAGAAACGGAUCGAUUAUCUGGAAUCAUCGGAGAGGGAAUUAGCUGCUAACCCGCUAGCGACGAAGACAGACUUGGAACGCGUUUGGGAAAAGUUGGAAGACUUAGAGAAUCGUAGCCGGCGAAACAACGUCCAAAUGUUGGAAUUCCUAAGAAAGAAGAAGGCCGAGAUAUGGUGA